rnacentral:rRNA from 1 species
GUGAACGCUGGCGGUAGGCCUAACACAUGCAAGUCGAACGGCAGCACAGUAAGAGCUUGCUCUUACGGGUGGCGAGUGGCGGACGGGUGAGGAAUACAUCGGAAUCUACUUUUUCGUGGGGGAUAACGUAGGGAAACUUACGCUAAUACCGCAUACGACCUACGGGUGAAAGCAGGGGAUCUUCGGACCUUGCGCGAUUGAAUGAGCCGAUGUCGGAUUAGCUAGUUGGCGGGGUAAAGGCCCACCAAGGCGACGAUCCGUAGCUGGUCUGAGAGGAGGAUCAGCCACACUGGAACUGAGACACGGUCCAGACUCCUACGGGAGGCAGCAGUGGGGAAUAUUGGACAAUGGGCGCAAGCCUGAUCCAGCCAUACCGCGUGGGUGAAGAAGGCCUUCGGGUUGUAAAGCCCUUUUGUUGGGAAAGAAAAGCAGCAGGUUAAUACCCCGCUGUUCUGACGGUACCCAAAGAAUAAGCACCGGCUAACUUCGUG